AGCGAACGCUGGCGGCAGGCCUAACACAUGCAAGUCGAACGAACUCUUCGGAGUUAGUGGCGGACGGGUGAGUAACACGUGGGAACGUGCCUUUUGGUUCGGAAUAACUCAGGGAAACUUGUGCUAAUACCGAAUGUGCCCUUCGGGGGGAAGAUUUAUCGCCAUUCUAGCGGCCCGCGUCUGAUUAGCUAGUUGGGGAGGUAACGGCUCACCAAGGCGACGAUCAGUAGCUGGUCUGAGAGGAUGACCAGCCACACUGGGACUGAGACACGGCCCAGACUCCUACGGGAAGCAGCAGUGGGGAAUCUUGCGCAAUGGGCGAAAGCCUGACGCAGCCAUGCCGCGUGAAUGAUGAAGGUCUUAGGAUUGUAAAAUUCUUUCACCGGGGACGAUAAUGACGGUACCCGGAGAAGAAGCCCCGGCUAACUUCGUG
rnacentral:rRNA from 1 species